UGGACUCGCGGCUUAUCAGCUUGUUGGUGGGGUAGUGGCUUACCAAGGCUUUGACGGGUAGCCGGCCUGAGAGGGUGACCGGCCACAUUGGGACUAAGAUACGGCCCAGACUCCUACGGGAGGCAGCAGUGGGGNAUAUUGCACAAUGGGCGGAAGCCUGAUGCAGCAACGCCGCGUGCGGGAUGACGGCCUUCGGGUUGUAAACCNGUUUCGCCUGUGACGAAGCGUGAGUGACGGUAAUGGGUAAAGAAGCACC
rnacentral:rRNA from 1 species